rnacentral:sRNA from 1 species
AAGGAGCCUCAUGUACAACAUCCUCAACAUGUCAGACUACAGACUACACUUUGUCCUCAUGCAGCAGCAACACCUGCGGCUGUCUGAACUCCUCCUUCGUAGCUAUACGUUCUGGAUGUGGACUCCAGCUGGAUAAACCCUUGAUAACGACGGGUAUCUACAGCAAUCAAGUGAUACUGGGUCAACCUUUCACCCUGUCAUGUUACACUGACGGAGCAAGUACUUACGAAUGGAAGAGAGGCUCAACUGUACUUACCUCUACAGCCAAUACUCACUCUGAAACAGCAGCCAGUUCUUCUAAUGUCGGUUCCUUUACGUGCCAAGGAAAAGGAGCAGAUUCAGUUUUUGUAUCGCCAGUGAGUGACAGUCUGACCUUGACCUUGUUGGGAACAGGAGCAACAACAACAUCAGCAAUACAGCCAAUACUAGUUUUGGGUGUGACUACACCUGUGUUCAGUGGCACAACAGUGACACUGUCUUGUACUAAUAUACCUAUAGGAUACACACCUGCCGAUGUUAAAUACAAGGUCAAUAAUGUAGCGAUUACUGGUACUACUGUGACUAUAGACUCCACCAAUGCAGCCAAAGAUGCUAUUUGUGAACU